rnacentral:misc_RNA from 1 species
AGAGAAGGGUGGAACCACAGCCUCAGAGAGUUCAGGAUAGACCAAAGUAUACCGACAGGACCCGCUAUGUGAGACGCAGAGAAAACAUGAGGUGAUGCAUUUGAGACGUUGAGAAAAUGUGCAUAUAGUGCAUAUAGGACUAAAGGGGAAGGGAAUCUCAAAUAUCUGCGAAGGGCCAAUAGGAGAACUUUACAGCAAUUAGAAACAGUAAACUGAAGUUAUUUGCUUUGUAAAAGUCAUGUUCAGUAGGAUGUUAGCUUUUUGUUGUUAAUGAACAUGGAUAUUAUCUAUAUAUGGCUGUCUUCCUAGUUAAUGUUUAUUGAGUUUGUUUAGUCGUAAAACGGGUGCACAAUUGAAGUUUAUAAGAACUUUGAGUUAUUCUU